CACUUAGUGAAGCUGGAUGACUUGCUGAAAUUCUGAAGCAUUUUAGUAGCCAAGUGAAAAUAGCACAUAAAAAGUCUCAGAGUAGACUUAUACCCCUAGGAGCAGCUGUGCUAGGUUUUAUUGUUGCUGCUGUAUUGGUGUAAUUCAUAUGAGAAGGUUUUUAUUUACAGCCUGCUGCUUUAGUCAUAACCUACUGCAAGAAUACAUUUACUUCUAAUCUUGCUGUUCCUAACAGAUUAGUUCUGCCACCCUUCCUCAGUUACAUUCAUGGAACAGCAAGUCCUAGAGUGCUUGUGACAAGGAAUGUCAGAAACUGAUUCUUAUAUAUAACUAUUAGUGUUGCAAAACUUCUUAUCAAGCAUUAAGCCUUGAUAAUAAAACGCUCAGUGCAGCUGGUUGUAUGUAUCAAACCAAAUGGCAAGUAUCUGCGAGCUUAGAUUUUUUCACUGCACUUCUCUUACAAGGAAUGGGUUCUGCACAAAAUUCCAUGGCUGUAUAAUUCAGUUCUAAAGCAUUCUGCUCCAUUCCUCACUGUUCCUUGAAAUCCUUAUACAUAGAAAUGAG
rnacentral:lncRNA from 1 species